UACGUAGGGGGCAAGCGUUGUUCGGAUUCAUUGGGCGUAAAGGGUGCGUAGGCGGGCCCGUAAGUCAGGGGUGAAAUCCCACGGCCCAACCGUGGAAGUGCCUCUGAUACUGCUGGCCUGGAGGGGGAUAGGGGCGUGCGGAACUUCCGGUGGAGCGGUGAAAUGCGUAGAUAUCGGAAGGAACACCGGUGGCGAAAGCGGCGCGCUGGAUCCCUACUGACGCUGAGGCACGAAAGCCAGGGGAGCAAACGGG
rnacentral:rRNA from 1 species